rnacentral:rRNA from 1 species
CACGUAGGGCGCAAGCGUUGUCCGGAAUUAUUGGGCGUAAAGAGCUCGUAGGUGGCCUGUUGCGUCCGCUGUGAAAACUCAGGGCUUAACCCUGAGCCGGCAGUGGAUACGGGCAGGCUAGAGGUAGGUAGGGGAGAAUGGAAUUCCUGGUGUAGCGGUGGAAUGCGCAGAUAUCAGGAGGAACACCGGUGGCGAAGGCGGCGUCCUGGACCAAUACUGACACUGAGGAGCGAAAGCCAGGGGAGCAAACGGG